UACGGGAGGCAGCAGUAGGGAAUCUUCGGCAAUGGACGAAAGUCUGACCGAGCAACGCCGCGUGAGUGAAGAAGGUUUUCGGAUCGUAAAACUCUGUUGUUAGAGAAGAACAAGGAUGAGAGUAAAACGUUCAUCCCUUGACGGUAUCUAACCAGAAAGCCACGGCUAACUACGUGCCAGCAGCCGCGGUAAUACGUAGGUGGCAAGCGUUGUCCGGAUUUAUUGGGCGUAAAGCGAGCGCAGGCGGUUUCU
rnacentral:rRNA from 1 species